rnacentral:rRNA from 1 species
UAGGGAAUCUUCCACAAUGGGCGAAGCCUGAUGGAGCAACGCCGCGUGUGUGAAGAAGGUUUUCGGAUCGUAAAACUCUGUUGGUAGAGAAGAACGUUGGUGAGAGUGGAAAGCUCAUCAAGUGACGGUAACUACCCAGAAAGGGACGGCUAACUACGUGCCAG